rnacentral:rRNA from 1 species
UACGGAGGGCGCAAGCGUUAUCCGGAUUCACUGGGUUUAAAGGGUGCGUAGGUGGGCAGGUAAGUCAGUGGUGAAAUCUCCGAGCUUAACUCGGAAACUGCCGUUGAUACUAUUUGUCUUGAAUAUUGUGGAGGUAAGCGGAAUAUGUCAUGUAGCGGUGAAAUGCUUAGAUAUGACAUAGAACACCAAUUGCGAAGGCAGCUUACUACACAACGAUUGACGCUGAGGCACGAAAGCGUGGGGAUCAAACAGG